ACUCACUGCACCGUGCAAACCUGUGCAAGAAAAACUGCAGAGCACUGAUCUUGGAAGCUAAGCAGGAUCGGGCCUGGUUAGUACUUGGAUGGGAGACCACCUAGGAAGACCUGGUGCUGUAAGCG
ensembl:rRNA 5S_rRNA 5S ribosomal RNA